AGAGUUUGAUCCGGCCCAGGAUGAACGCUGGCGGCGCGCCUAACACAUGCAAGUCGAACGGCACCCAUCUUCGGAUGGAAGCGAGUGGCGAACGGCUGAGUAACACGUGGAGAACCUGCCCCCUCCCCCGGGAUAGCCGCCCGAAAGGACGGGUAAUACCGGAUACCCCGGGGUGCCGCAUGGCACCCCGGCUAAAGCCCCGACGGGAGGGGAUGGCUCCGCGGCCCAUCAGGUAGACGGCGGGGUGACGGCCCACCGUGCCGACAACGGGUAGCCGGGUUGAGAGACCGACCGGCCAGAUUGGGACUGAGACACGGCCCAGACUCCUACGGGAGGCAGCAGUGGGGAAUCUUGCGCAAUGGGGGGAACCCUGACGCAGCGACGCCGCGUGCGGGACGGAGGCCUUCGGGUCGUAAACCGCUUUCAGCAGGGAAGAGUCAAGACUGUACCUGCAGAAGAAGCCCCGGCUAACUACGUGCCAGCAGCCGCGGUAAUACGUAGGGGGCGAGCGUUAUCCGGAUUCAUUGGGCGUAAAGCGCGCGUAGGCGGCCCGGCAGGCCGGGGGUCGAAGCGGGGGGCUCAACCCCCCGAAGCCCCCGGAACCUCCGCGGCUUGGGUCCGGUAGGGGAGGGUGGAACACCCGGUGUAGCGGUGGAAUGCGCAGAUAUCGGGUGGAACACCGGUGGCGAAGGCGGCCCUCUGGGCCGAGACCGACGCUGAGGCGCGAAAGCUGGGGGAGCGAACAGGAUUAGAUACCCUGGUAGUCCCAGCCGUAAACGAUGGACGCUAGGUGUGGGGGGACGAUCCCCCCGUGCCGCAGCCAACGCAUUAAGCGUCCCGCCUGGGGAGUACGGCCGCA
rnacentral:rRNA from 1 species